AGAGCUACCAGGAAGCUGUUGGCAGGCUCCUCCUCUCUAAGCUUGGAUAGCAAAGCGUCUCCUUGCCUUCUCCUGUCUGGAGGCUGCUCAAAUGGCACGAUUUGGGGCCCCUUCUCUCCACCCUCAAAGCCAGGCACCGUGCAGAACUCUGAUCCCGUCUUCUGAUCAACUUUAACGGUCUUGUGAUUGGAAAAAAAGCAGGAAAAGGAAGCUGUAUGUCUUGCCUGACAUCCACACAAGUACCAAGAACAAGAUGUAGAAGAACUCUUAGCUCAUCCUGCACCAUGCCUGCCUGGAUGCUGCUAUGCUCCUGCCUUGAUGAUGAUGGACUGAACCGCUGAACCUGUAAGCCCCAAUGAAAUGUUGUCUUUAUAAGAGUUGCCUUGCUCAUGGUGUCUGCUCACAGCAGUGAGACCCUUACUAAGACAAUACCUUAAACCUAAAACUGUUUCUUAGUGAACUUGUUCCUUAAAACAUAAAAGCAAUGUCUCUUAUAAAUCAACGGGU